rnacentral:rRNA from 2 species
AGCCUGAUGCAGCGACGCCGCGUGGGGGAUGACGGUCUUCGGAUUGUAAACCCCUUUCAGUAGGGACGAAGCGCAAGUGACGGUACCUGCAGAAGAAGCACCGGCUAACUACGUGCCAGCAGCCGCGGUAAUACGUAGGGUGCGAGCGUUGUCCGGAAUUACUGGGCGUAAAGAGCUCGUAGGCGGUUUGUCACGUCGUCUGUGAAAUCCCUCGGCUUAACCGGGGGCGUGCAGGCGAUACGGGCAGACUUGAGUACUACAGGGGAGACUGGAAUUCCUGGUGUAGCGGUGAAAUGCGCAGAUAUCAGGAGGAACACCGGUGGCGAAGGCGGGUCUCUGGGUAGUAACUGACGCUGAGGAGCGAAAGCAUGGGUAGCGAACAGGAUUAGAUACCCUGGUAGUCCAUGCCGUAAACGGUGGGCGCUAGGUGUGGGGUCCUUCCACGGACUCCGUGCCGUAGCUAACGCAU